CUAUACUCAUUUGGAAUGCUUUGUUUAACAAAUUUAUCUGAUGGUUUUGUUCUUGUGGUAAAUGUUGCAGGCAAACCUUUGUGAAGAGCCUUGAGCCAUUUGUGAAUUGGCUUGAAGAGGCAGAGGAAGAAGAGUGAGUGAACCGUGUUUCCAAUAAAAAGAGCCUGCUCAGUGUGUUUGUGUUUCUUAAGCUAAAGACAAUAAAUCCACAGAGUUUAUUUUCUAAACUCUUUUGCUGCACUCUGUUUUUCUUGAUGUAUUUUGGCAAUAUUUCUGCUCUGAGAUGAUUGUAUUUCCUUUGUGUGUUGAAUAUUUUACUCUCUGUUUUCAAUAUGGGGUUUUGAAUUCUUCUUGCUAACGGUUUAUUCGAGAGGUGGGAUGAAGUCGUCCACUCCUUGCAAGUUUGUUUGCCACGUGAUUGUCUCCAAGGGCAUCAUUAACGGAGUGUGCAACUCCAGUCUCUUAGUUUUUUUUUUUUGUCAACAUUCUCUUUUUAUUAGAGAAACCCUAUGGGCAUUUUACAUGAGAAGUUCAUAAGGCUCAGUUAUAAAAUACAUACUCAAAAGCAAUAAAUCAAUACAGUCCGGCCCACUUUAAUCCCAUCAGAUCCUCUUGAGUUCGUAGACUUGCCACUCCAAUUCCACGCGUCUGCUAAGAAGAAACGCUCUGCCACGCGUCUUCAUCUUGAUAUGCAUGAAGCCACACCACAAAUUGAAGGGGGGUGGCGAUCGGUGGCAAAUUGCUCACCGGCCACCGAAAACAGUUUCAAUUUCUUUUGUGUUUCUAGAGAGAAGUUGGAGCGUUUAGAGAGAGAAAAGUAAUGAUGUGUACUCCAGUCUCUUAGUUUAAUUGGAUUUAAAAAAAAAAAGAAAAUUAGUAUAAUUAUGAGAAAACGUAUCUUAAUUAGGGGAAAUAAGAAAUGGCCUCUGCUGAGACACGUGUUGUCUUUUGGUUGUUCUUGUGUGUUUCUCUCUCUCCACGGAAGCAAAUCACCGCAUCUCUCUAUCUCUGCAAACCCAUGCCUCUAUCGAUAGAUCGUAAUCGAAUUCGGGAGGUGUAGAGGAACCGAUCAACAUGGGAAACAUCUUUGUCUCGCUUCUCGCCUUGACGCUGUUGUUGCUCGCUUAGACACCCAGGCUAAGAUGGACACCAUCACCAAAUCCAUGACUAACAUCGUCAAAUCCCUUGAAUCUUCCCUCGCCACAGGUAUGUCGAUUGUCAUUAGGCGCUUUUGAUUUGCUGAUAAUCGUUAAUUAGGGUUUAGGUGAAUGUGGAUUUGCAUGAUUGUUUCUGGGUAGAGAGAAAGGUUUUUUCUUUAUGGAAACCCAAGAGGAAAGUAGCGUCCUUUAGUCUUAAUUGCAUACUUCUUCUCUUAAGUGGAAUGUAGCAUGAACGAAGGGGAAUGGAUAGCAUGAAGUAGACAAGUCUAAGUAGAUUCAUUGACUUGUAUUGUAUGCAAUUUGAGGUUUUGUCUGUUGCAGACAAAAUGUGUUUGAUUGUAAUGUUGGUUCUAUCUGUUGAUUUGAUGCAGCAGGUAGCAGAUGACUAUGGUCUUGAAGUAUCUGUUUGAUUACCUCAGCCUGCUGAUCAUAAUGUUUCCUCAACGUGAGCUUCACCACCAAGCAGGCCCAUGGUUAUGCUUUUUCGAAAUCUGGUCAAGAACCCAUGGUUAUACAACUGACCAGUCCCGACUUGUGAUGAGUAAGCGUUGUAGUAGAACUCACGAGCUUCCUCUGCUGGUGUCAAAUUCUAGACCAACGUAAGGUUCGGCUCCUGAGCUUUGACACUGGUAAGCUCACUGCAAAUGAUCCAAAGAAGGGGAAGAAAAUACACACACGAGUUCAUCGAAAAUCUCACAUCAGACAAUGAGUUCCUAACUAUUGUAAAAAGCUAAGAAAGCUAGAGAAUUCAGAAGAAAGGAGGAGACUUUAUCAACCAACCCCAGAGAAGAUGCACUCUCAUCUGAACUGAAUUGAACUGAAGCCAACAACACAAGAACGUAAAAGCCAGACCAGAAAUGUUAUCUGUUUGAUUGAAGUAUCUGUUUGCUUGGACUAUCUGCCACUUAGGACGAGUUCCUUAUCAUAAUGUUACAGCUAUUAUCUACAAACACUUAUUGAAGCCACACAGCAAGCCCACAACAAGCCCAAGACUGUCAUUGGAGAGGUCCAUAGAAACCCAUGUAACUAGGGUUCUACCAUUUAGUAUAAAUAGUAGUUUAAGACUUUGUAAAAACUAAUCGUGGCUGCCGUAAGACCAUGAUUAUCCGGAGCUCUUAAGAGCGUUUCUUAGUUUAAUAAGAAUUAAAAAAAAAAUGAAAAAUGGCAAUAAACAUAAGCUACGGCUCUUAAUUAGGGAACAUAAGUGACGUUUCUUGUGAGCUCUAUCUUCUCCCUUUUUCGAUUUCCCGAGCUUCAGAUUAACAAACAUGGCCACCACUGGAAACAAGAAUAUCAACGCCAAACUGGUCAGUACCGAUUUUGUAUAUUCUUUGUGAGAUCUUUUUGUUUAUAUAUCCUCAAAUCCUGACUUCAAUUGAUUUUUUAUUUUUUGGAGAAUUUUGAUUGGAUCGUUGAUUUUCCAAUCAGGGAAAAUUUUCUCUUGUUUCGGAUCUCAUAGUUUCAUAGAUUGCAUGUUUUAUCAGUAUUAAGCUAGGGUUUUGUGUAAAGGUUGUAUCUUUGCAUGGAUUAUCCGAGCUGGUAGCUUUGUUUUAUCAUACAUAUAGACUUCUUUGUUUAACACUUUUUCUCAGUUAUGUCUUGUGGGUUUAGUGGUUGUGUUUUGUAGACUUCUCUUUUAUUAUCUGUUUGAUAGAUAAGAUUCUCGAUGCUAUUUCCCUCUAGUGAGUGCAAGUAUGCUGCUUUGUUCACCUAACAUUCUCUAGUUAUGAUUAUUUUGUUCUUGGUUUAGUGGUUUAAUUUUGUGGACUUAUCUCUUUGAUUAUCUGUUUGAUAGAUAACAUUUUCAACGCAAUUGCUAAGCUGGGAUUUACUGAGCCAACACCAAUACAAGCUCAGGGAUGGCCAAUGGCUUUAAAGGGUAGGGAUUUAAUUUGGCUAUUUCUCCACCUUCUCCGACUACAAGCAAUGUGUCAUCUCCUUCUCCUUGUGAUGUUAAAGUAGGUGAUCCUUUUCCCAGAAGCUCUCUGGAUUGCCUCCGGAGACUGUCUUCCAGCCUUUGCUCAAGGAUAAUCUUGUUGCCAAAGGGAUAGUGCUCACUUUUGUGACCGACUUCUUCAAGGAGUAUUUGGUUGAGAACAGUCUUGAAGACUUGAUUUCUAUUCUGAGGCGUGGCAAAAUGGAAGACAACCUUUUGGAUUUCUUACCACCUGUAAGGCGAACUGCUGAAAGCUUUGCAGAGCAUUUCACGUGAGUUUUCCUCCCUUUAAGUUUGUUCCAUUUCAAUAUCAUAGUUUUGAUUAUUACAUCUUUGAUCAUUGUUCAUUAAUCAAUCAUAUGGUGUUAUAUCCCUCUUUUGUCUGCCUCUACAUGCCAAGUUUGCAUUCUUAUCUUCUGUUUUACGUUGUUAGUACAAUUAGUUGACAAAUAGUUUGUGUUUUACUUUUUUGGAUUCUCAGGAAAGAGGGGUUGACUGAUCUAGUUGAGUACCAUUCAAAGAAAAUGUUUGAGGUGAAGCUGAAGGAAAUCAAAACCGUUCUUACAAGCAAGGUUACAGAGGAAAGUAGUGUAGAUGAAGUCAUUGAGACAGUGAAGCAGCUAGUCAAAGACGCCAAACUCCCAGAGAUUGAGGUUGUGCGUGUCGUUUGGGAUGGUUUAAUGGAUGCUGUUCAGUGGUCUGGUAAAAACCAGCAGCAAAAUGCUAAUUCUGUUCUCCGCCAGGUAAGAUUCAGUUUGCAACUGUCAUGUAACAGUUGCAUAUAGUCUAUGUGUGUUAUUCCAUCUAGGAGUUGUAUGUGAUGAUCCCUAUUAUGUAUGGUCACGGUUAUUUCUCUUGAUUUCUUUUACCUGUGCGCAGGUGAAAGCAUGGGCUCCGCUUUUGAACACGGUCUGCAGCAGCGGAAAGCUAGAGCUCGAGCUUAUGUACAAGGUCCAAAUGCAAUGCUAUGAGGACGCCAAGCUUAUGAAAGUUUUCCCAGAAGUAGUGAGGUCGCUCUAUGAUCUGGAUGUCCUCGCUGAAGACACCAUCCUCCACUGGUUCCGUAAAGGAACCAACACGAAGGGCAGGUAUGCGCUUUGGUCCCGUAGCACUAUACUCAUUUGGAAUGCUUUGUUUAACAAAUUUAUCUGAUGGUUUUGUUCUUGUUUUAAAUGUUGCAGGCAAACCUUUGUGAAGAGCCUUGAGCCAUUUGUGAAUUGGCUUGAAGAGGCAGAGGAAGAAGAGUGAGUGAACCGUGUUUCCAAUAAAAAGAGCCUGCUCAGUGUGUUUGUGUUUCUUAAGCUAAAGACAA
rnacentral:lncRNA from 1 species